rnacentral:rRNA from 1 species
UGUAUCCUACGGGAGGCAGCAGUGGGUCCUAUUGCUCCCUUUGCGACCGCCUGACGCAGCGACGCCGCGUGAGGGAUGAAGGUCUUCGGAUCGUAAACCUCUGUCAGCAGGGAAGAACGGUCACUGUGCUAAUCAGCAGUGAAUUGACGGUACCUGCAAAGGAAGCACCGGCUAACUCCGUGCCAGCAGCCGCGGUAAUACGGAGGGUGCGAGCGUUAAUCGGAAUUACUGGGCGUAAAGCGCUCGUAGGCGGUAUGUCAAGUCAAGGGUGAAAUCCCCGCGCUCAACGUGGGAACUGCCUUUGA